UCGAGAAUCUUCCGCAAUGGGCGAAAGCCUGACGGAGCGACGCCGCGUGCGGGAUGAAGGCCUUCGGGUUGUAAACCGCUGUCGAAGGGGAGCAAAUUUGAGCGAUCCUUGGAGGAAGCACAGGCUAAAUUCGUGCCAGCAGCCGCGGUAAUACGAAUUGUGCGAACGUUAUUCGGAAUCACUGGGCUUAAAGGGUGCGUAGGCGGUCAUGUAGGUCUGAUGUGAAAUCCCACGGCUCAACCGUGGAACUGCGUUGGAAACCCCAUGGCUGGAGUAGGACAGAGGUGAGCGGAACAGAUGGUGGAGCGGUGAAAUGCGUUGAUAUCAUCUGGAACACCGGUGGCGAAAGCGGCUCACUGGGUCUCUUCUGACGCUGAGGCACGAAAGCUAGGGUAGCGAACGGGAUUAGAUACCCAAGUAGUCCCUGAGCGGGCUGGCAAGGCGCAU
rnacentral:rRNA from 1 species